rnacentral:rRNA from 1 species
UACGGAGGGGGCUAGCGUUGUUCGGAAUUACUGGGCGUAAAGCGCACGUAGGCGGCUUUGUAAGUUAGAGGUGAAAGCCCGGGGCUCAACCCCGGAAUUGCCUUUAAGACUGCAUCGCUAGAAUUGUGGAGAGGUAAGUGGAAUUCCGAGUGUAGAGGUGAAAUUCGUAGAUAUUCGGAAGAACACCAGUGGCGAAGGCGACUUACUGGACACAGUAUUGA